rnacentral:tRNA from 1 species
GCCCGGGUGGUGGAAUCGGUAGACACGAAGGACUUAAAAUCCUUUGAUCAUUGCGAUCGUGCGGGUUCAAGUCCCGCCCCGGGUACCA